rnacentral:rRNA from 1 species
GAUGAACGCUAGCGAUAGGCUUAACACAUGCAAGUCGAGGGGCAGCACAAGGUAGCUUGCUAUCUGGGUGGCGACCGGCGCACGGGUGCGUAACGCGUAUGCAACUUGCCCUAUACAGGAGGAUAACCCGUCGAAAGACGGACUAAUACUGCGUAUGCUCACAACUUGGCAUCAAGUGGUGAGGAAAGAAAUUCGGUAUAGGAUAGGCAUGCGUCCCAUUAGCUUGUUGGUGAGGUAACGGCUCACCAAGGCAACGAUGGGUAGGGGAACUGAGAGGUUUAUCCCCCACACUGGUACUGAGACACGGACCAGACUCCUACGGGAGGCAGCAGUGAGGAAUAUUGGUCAAUGGGCGCGAGCCUGAACCAGCCAAGUCGCGUGAAGGAUGACUGUCUUAUGGAUUGUAAACUUCUUUUAGACGGGAAUAACAAGAGUCACGUGUGACUCCCUGCAUGUACCGUAUGAAUAGGCAUCGGCUAACUCCGUG